rnacentral:misc_RNA from 1 species
UUUCCGUAGGUGAACCUGCGGAAGGAUCAUUACCGAGUUAGGGUCCUCUGGGCCCGAUCUCCAACCCAUUGUUUAAUCGACCUUUGUUGCUUUGGCAGGCCCGUCUUCGGACCGCCGGGGGUCUUCGGACCUUGGGCCUGUGCCUGCCAGAGGAAAUUCAACUCUGAAUUUAAGUGUUGUCUGAGUAAAAACAUAAUAUUUAAAACUUUCAACAACGGAUCUCUUGGCUCUGGCAUCGAUGAAGAACGCAGC